GGUCUGCUGCUGGAGCUUCCUCAGUGGACGCGCUAUCCAUGCUGUCCGGGGAGGGCCAGUAGUAGUGCCCGCACCUAACGGCGCCGUAGGACGGCAUGGCCAGGGGAGCAGGUCAAGAAAAGGACAAAGUUUCUCCUUUCCACUGACAACCCUGCUGCUUAAUCACCUGAGAAUUACUGGUUGAUGUGACCCAUUGUUAACCGUGAAGAGGCAGACUUGAACAGAGGGACCGUGGAAGCAGGCCGGCAGGAAAUCUGGAGUGUCAAAAUAAGGUGGAAAGAAAGCUAGUGAGACCACGCAGAUGGGCCUGUUCUUUCUUUAUCAGCCCUUCUUUGCACUAAUGCUUGCUACAUACAGAAAUGCUGAAGUGCUUUAUUUGUAGGGACAGAGACCUCCACACUGUCUGGUCCUUACCCCCAUCGGUCCACCGUCUCCCUUCC